rnacentral:rRNA from 1 species
CGGCGAGUGAAGCGGCAAUAGCUCAAAUUUGAAAGCUGGCGUCUUCGACGUCCGCGUUGUAAUUUGUAGAGGAUGCUUCGGCGAGGACUCCUGCCUAAGUCCCCUGGAACGGGGCGUCACAGAGGGUGAGAAUCCCGUAUGUGGCGGGCGGUCCAAGCCAUGUGAAGCUCCUUCGACGAGUCGAGUUGUUUGGGAAUGCAGCUCUAAAUGGGAGGUAAAUUUCUUCUAAAGCUAAAUAUUGGCCAGAGACCGAUAGCGCACAAGUAGAGUGAUCGAAAGAUGAAAAGCACUUUGGAAAGAGAGUUAAAAAGUACGUGAAAUUGUUGAAAGGGAAGCGCUUGCAACCAGACUCGCUCGCAGUUGCUCAGCCGGCCUCUUGGCCGGCGUACUCUUCUGCGAUCGGGCCAGCAUCAGUUCGGGCGGCUGGAUAAAGGUGUCGGGAAUGUAGCACCCUUCGGGGUGUGUUAUAGCCCGGCGCGGAAUGCGGCCAGCCUGGACUGAGGAUCUCGCUUCGGCAAGGAUGCUGGCGUAAUGGUUGUAAGCGGCCCGUCUUGAAACACGGACCAAGGAGUCUAACAUCUAUGCGAGUGUUUGGGUGUCAAACCCAUGCGCGUAAUGAAAGUGAACGGAGGUGGGAACCCCUCACGGGGUGCACCAUCGACCGAUCCUGAUGUCUUCGGAUGGAUUUGAGUAAGAGCAUAGCUGUUGGGACCCGAAAGAUGGUGAACUAUGCCUGAAUAGGGUGAAGCCAGAGGAAACUCUG